rnacentral:rRNA from 1 species
UACGGGAGGGGCAAGCGUUGUUCGGAAUUACUAGACGUAAAAAGCUCGUAGGCGGCCAACUAAGUCAGACGUGAAAUCCCUCGGCUUAACCGAAGAACUGCGUCUGAUACUGGAUGGCUAGAGGUUGGGAGAGGGAUGCGGAAUUCCAGGUGUAGCGGUGAAAUGCGUAGAUAUCUGGAGGAACACCGAUGGCGAAGGCGGCAUCCUGGACCAAUUCUGACGCUGAGGAGCGAAAGCCAGGGAAGCAAACGGG